ANACNUGCAGUCGAGCGAAUGGAUUAAGAGCUUGCUCUUAUGAAGUUAGCGGCGGACGGGUGAGUAACACGUGGGUAACCUGCCCAUAAGACUGGGAUAACUCCGGGAAACCGGGGCUAAUACCGGAUAACAUUUUGAACUGCAUGGUUCGAAAUUGAAAGGCGGCUUCGGCUGUCACUUAUGGAUGGACCCGCGUCGCAUUAGCUAGUUGGUGAGGUAACGGCUCACCAAGGCAACGAUGCGUAGCCGACCUGAGAGGGUGAUCGGCCACACUGGGACUGAGACACGGCCCAGACUCCUACGGGAGGCAGCAGUAGGGAAUCUUCCGCAAUGGACGAAAGUCUGACGGAGCAACGCCGCGUGAGUGAUGAAGGCUUUCGGGUCGUAAAACUCUGUUGUUAGGGAAGAACAAGUGCUAGUUGAAUAAGCUGGCACCUUGACGGUACCUAACCAGAAAGCCACGGCUAACUACGUGCCAGCAGCCGCGGUAAUACGUAGGUGGCAAGCGUUAUCCGGAAUUAUUGGGCGUAAAGCGCGCGCAGGUGGUUUCUUAAGUCUGAUGUGAAAGCCCACGGCUCAACCGUGGAGGGUCAUUGGAAACUGNNAGACUUGAGUGCAGAAGAGGAAAGUGGAAUUCCAUGUGUAGCGGUGAAAUGCGUAGAGAUAUGGAGGAACACCAGUGGCGAAGGNNACUUUCUGGUCUGUAACUGACACUGAGNNGCGAAAGCGUGGGGAGCAAACAGGAUUAG
rnacentral:rRNA from 1 species